rnacentral:lncRNA from 1 species
AUCUAAGGAUGAGGAGAACUAGUUGGCCAUCUUUUUUGGCCUCCACUUGACUCGUCCGAGGAUGAGUGCCAAUUGACCGUCUUCUUUAGCCUUUGCUCGACUCAUCCGAAGAGAGGAGUGCUAAUUGGUCAUCUUUUCUAGCCUCUACUCGACUCAUCCAAGGAUGAGGAGUGCCAAUUGGCCAUCUUGAGGGAUCCUCAAAGGGUUAGCCCCUUCAUUGUCAUCCUUGGCUGCCAUUUUGCUGUUGCCAUAAUCCAGCC